rnacentral:tmRNA from 1 species
GGGGCUGAUUCUGGAUUCGACGGGAUUUGCGAAACCCAAGGUGCAUGCCGAGGGGCGGUUGGCCUCGUAAAAAGCCGCAAAAAAUAGUCGCAAACGACGAAAACUACGCUUUAGCAGCUUAAUAACCUGCUUAGAGCCCUCUCUCCCUAGCCUCCGCUCUUAGGACGGGGAUCAAGAGAGGUCAAACCCAAAAGAGAUCGCGUGGAAGCCCUGCCUGGGGUUGAAGCGUUAAAACUUAAUCAGGCUAGUUUGUUAGUGGCGUGUCCGUCCGCAGCUGGCAAGCGAAUGUAAAGACUGACUAAGCAUGUAGUACCGAGGAUGUAGGAAUUUCGGACGCGGGUUCAACUCCCGC